rnacentral:tmRNA from 1 species
GGGGGCGAAUUGGAUUCGACAGGAGUUGCAAAGCAACGCAGGGCAUACCGAGGACCAGCUACCUCGUAAAUACAACUGGAAAACUAUAGUCGCAAACGACGAAAACUACGCUUU